AGUGAACGCUGGCGGUAGGCCUAACACAUGCAAGUCGAACGAACUCUUCGGAGUUAGUGGCGGACGGGUGAGUAACACGUGGGAACGUGCCUUUAGGUUCGGAAUAACUCAGGGAAACUUGUGCUAAUACCGAAUGUGCCCUUCGGGGGAAAGAUUUAUCGCCUUUAGAGCGGCCCGCGUCUGAUUAGCUAGUUGGUGAGGUAAAGGCUCACCAAGGCGACGAUCAGUAGCUGGUCUGAGAGGAUGAUCAGCCACAUUGGGACUGAGACACGGCCCAAACUCCUACGGGAGGCAGCAGUGGGGAAUCUUGCGCAAUGGGCGAAAGCCUGACGCAGCCAUGCCGCGUGAAUGAUGAAGGUCUUAGGAUUGUAAAAUUCUUUCACCGGGGACGAUAAUGACGGUACCCGGAGAAGAAGCCCCGGCUAACUUCGUGCCAGCCGCCGCGGUAA
rnacentral:rRNA from 1 species